rnacentral:rRNA from 1 species
UACGUAGGGGGGCAAGCGUUGUCCGGAUUUAUUGGGCGUAAAGAGCGUGUAGGCGGCUGGGUAGGUCCGUUGUGAAAACUCGAGGCUCAACCUCGAGACGCCGAUGGAAACCCUCCAGCUAGAGUCCGGAAGAGGAGAGUGGAAUUCCUGGUGUAGCGGUGAAAUGCGCAGAUAUCAGGAAGAACACCCGUGGCUAAGGCGGCUCUCUAGUACGGUACUGACGCUGAGACGCGAAAGCGUGGGGAGCGAACAGG